UACGUAGGGUGCGAGCGUUGUCCGGAUUUAUUGGGCGUAAAGAGCUCGUAGGCGGUUUGUCGCGUCGGCCGUGAAAUCUCCACGCUUAACGUGGAGCGUGCGGUCGAUACGGGCAGACUUGAGUUCGGUAGGGGAGACUGGAAUUCCUGGUGUAGCGGUGAAAUGCGCAGAUAUCAGGAGGAACACCAAUGGCGAAGGCAGCUCGCUGGAACGGUACUGACGCUGUGGCGCGAAAAGCGUGGGGGAG
rnacentral:rRNA from 1 species